rnacentral:rRNA from 1 species
UACGGAGGGUGCAAGCGUUAAUCGGAAUUACUGGGCGUAAAGCGCACGCAGGUGGCUGAGUCAGUCGAUUGUGAAAGCCCUGGGCUCAACCUGGGAAUUGCAGUCGAUACUACUCAGCUAGAGUAUGGGAGAGGGCAGUGGAAUUCCCGGUGUAGCGGUGAAAUGCGUAGAUAUCGGGAGGAACAUCAGUGGCGAAGGCGGCUGCCUGGCCCAAUACUGACACUCAGGUGCGACAGCGUGGGGGGCAAACAGG